rnacentral:rRNA from 1 species
UACGGAGGGGGCUAGCGUUGUUCGGAAUUACUGGGCGUAAAGCGCACGUAGGCGGCUUUGUAAGUUAGAGGUGAAAGCCCAGGGCUUAACCCUGGAAUUGCCUUUAAGACUGCAUCGCUAGAAUCGUGGAGAGGUAAGUGGAAUUCCGAGUGUAGAGGUGAAAUUCGUAGAUAUUCGGAAGAACACCAGUGGCGAAGGCGACUUACUGGACACGUAUUGACGCUGAGGUGCGAAAGCGUGGGGAGCAAACAGGAUUAGAUACCC